GCCUGGAUAGCUCAGUCGGUUAAGCAUCUGACUUUGGCUCAGGUCAUGAUCUUGCAGUUUGUGAGUUCGACCCCCACGUCGGGCU
rnacentral:tRNA from 1 species